rnacentral:lncRNA from 1 species
CGGGGGGGGGGUUGUUCUUUUGCUCCUUGGGUCCACACUGCGUUUAUGAGCUGUAAUAUUCACCGCAAAGGUCUGCAGCUUCACUACUAAGCCAACGAGACCACAAACCCACCAGGAGGAACGACAAUUCCAGACGCGUGGCUUUAACAGCUGUUAACACUCACCGCGAAGGUCUGUAGCUUCAUUUCUGAGUCAGCGAGACCACGAACCCACCAGAAAGAAGAAACUCCGAACACACCCGAACCUCAGAAGGAACAAAUUCCGGACACGCCGCCUUUAAGAACUGUAACACUCACCACAAGGGUCCGCGGCUUCAUUCUUGAAGUCAGUGAGACCAAGAACCCACUAAUUCCGGACACACUUUGACCAGCAGAGCAGGCAGAAGUAAAGCCACGGUUCACAGAAGUGGCUGCCCCGGCUGGACACAGGCUCAAUCUUGCUGGAAUCUGUCCUCUUACUCCCCUACCCCAGCCCAGUGCCCCACCAGCGUGCUCCACUCAGCAUCCUGAUUUUCCCUGGAAUGUGCCACUUUGCCACCAUUUCCCUUUCAACAGAUGGAAUAUAGCAAGUUCGCUUUCUGUAUCAA